rnacentral:piRNA from 1 species
UAGGCAAAGCCUUGGGUGGACUCUGUGC